UGAAAAUGAAUAGGAAAUGGACACAAAUAAGGAAAUGAUGUUAGAGUACUGGAUUAUAAAACCUCUAAGUCCUUUUCAAUUCUAAAAUACUAUGAUCUCCUAGGGAAUCCUCAGAGAAUCUUUUCUAAUUAGACAGGAAAGAUUUCCUGGAUAAAGUGACCUAGGGAUGCAGAAUGUCCUCUAGAAGGAAAGAUUGCUGAUACAAUAAUAGGGAAGAACAGUUCACCUAUACAGACAUUUGUUGAGUAUUUACUGUCCUGGGCAGUAUGCUAAGUAUUUAACAUACACGAUCAUUUACUUUAAUCCUCUUUGAAAUCCUACUAAUAGAGAGUUGCUAUAAUUAUCACCAUUUUGCAGUUGAGGAAAUAGAGAGGAGAUGAAACUUGCUUAGAAUUGACUUAGUUACUAAAUGAAAGUUAAUGGAACUAAUAAUUUUAAGCCACUAUAUCAGAUAUCUCAAUUCACCUGAACUUGACUUAUCUGGCAUGUUUAGUAAAAAACAGAUAUUCUAGUUCCUUCUCCUACAACUUCCAGGAGGUAAAUUCUAGGGUGAGGCCUGAGAAUAAAACAUUUACAAGUCCUCAAAGUGAGUACCAAAAUCUACCCUGUAGGAGAAAAAGUGCCCUAAUAAAACCAAGAUGCCUCCCAGGUAAUCUGGUCUGCAUAUGUCAAAGCCUAGGAGAUGCUGGCAGUUGG
rnacentral:lncRNA from 1 species